GACGAACGCUGGCGGCGUGCCUAAUACAUGCAAGUAGAACGCUGAAGCGAGGAGCUUACUCUUCUUGGAUGAGUUGCGAACGGGUGAGUAACGCGUAGGUAACCUGCCUUGUAGCGGGGGAUAACUAUUGGAAACGAUAGCUAAUACCGCAUAACAAUGGAUGACACAUGUCAUUUAUUUGAAAGGGGCAAUUGCUCCACUACAAGAUGGACCUGCGUUGUAUUAGCUAGUAGGUGAGGUAAUGGCUCACCUAGGCGACGAUACAUAGCCGACCUGAGAGGGUGAUCGGCCACACUGGGACUGAGACACGGCCCAGACUCCUACGGGAGGCAGCAGUAGGGAAUCUUCGGCAAUGGGGGCAACCCUGACCGAGCAACGCCGCGUGAGGGAAGAAGGGUUUCGGAUCGUAAAGCUCUGUUGUAAGUCAAGAACGGGUGUGAGAGUGGAAAGUUCACACUGUGACGGUAGCUUACCAGAAAGGGACGGCUAACUACGUG
rnacentral:rRNA from 1 species